rnacentral:rRNA from 1 species
CCUACGGGAGGCAGCAGUAGGGAAUGUUCGUCAAUGGGCGCAAGCCUGAACGAGCGAUGCCGCGUGAGUGAAGAAGGCCUUCGGGUCGUAAAGCUCUGUUGCGGGGGAAAAAAGGCAGCAUCAGGAAAUGGGUGCUGACUGAUGGUGCCCCGCCAGAAAGGCACGGCUAACUACGUGCCAGCAGCCGCGGUAAUACGUAGGUGGCGAACGUUAUCCGGAAUGAUUGGGCGGAAAGGGUGCGCAGGCGGUCCUGCAAGUCUGGAGUGAAACGCCUGCGCUCAACUCAUGCAUGGCUUUGGAAACUGGAGGACUGGAGCGCAGGACAGUGCGGUGGACCUCCAUGUGUAGCCGU